CCGGAGAGAAUCCUGAGGUGCUCGAGUGAAUCAUGGCUAAGGAACUCGGCAAAUUAACCCUGUAACUUCGGGAAAAGGGGUGCCCUCAGCAAUGAGGGUCGCAGAGAAAUGGCCCAGGCGACUGUUUAACAAAGACACAUGGCUAUGCGAAAUCGAAAGAUGAAGUAUAUGGCCUGACACCUGCCCGGUGCUGGAAGGUUAAGGGGGGACGUUAGUCGCAAGACAAAGCGUUGAACUGAAGCCCCAGUAAACGGCGGCCGUAACUAUAACGGUCCUAAGGUAGCGAAGUUCCUUGUCGGGUAAGUUCCGACCUGCACGAAUGGUGUAACGAUCUGGGCGCUGUCUCAGCCAUGAGCUCGGUGAAAUUGUAGUCACGGUGAAGAUGCCGUGUACCCGCAACGGGACGGAAAGACCCCAUGCACCUUUACUAUAGCUUCACAUUGACAUUGGGUAAAUGAUGUGUAGGAUAGGUGGGAGACAUUGAUCCCGGGCCGCUAGGUUCGGGGGAGUCAACGGUGAAAUACCACCCUUUAUUUUCUUGAUGUCUAACCUCUAACAAGGGACAGUGUGUGGUGGGUAGUUUGACUGGGGUGGUCGCCUCCGAAAGUGUAUCGGAGGCUUUCAAAGGUAUGCUCAGUACGCUUGGUAACCGUACGUGGAGUGCAAUAGCAUAAGCAUGCUUGACUGUGAGACCGACGGGUCGAGCAGGGACGAAAGUUGGAUAUAGUGAUCCGGUGGUUCUGUAUGGAAGGGCCAUCGCUCAAAGGAUAAAAGGUACGCUGGGAUAACAGGCUGAUCUCCCCCAAGAGCUCACAUCGACGGGGAGGUUUGGCACCUCGAUGUCGGCUCGUCACAUCCUGGGGCUGGAGAAGGUCCCAAGGGUUGGGCUGUUCGCCCAUUAAAGUGGCACGCGAGCUGGGUUCAGAACGUCGUGAGACAGUUCAGUCCCUAUCUGUUGUGGGCGUAGGAAGUUUGAGAGGAUCUGACCUUAGUACGAGAGGACCGGGUUGGACUAACCGCUGGUGUACCAGUCGUGGCGUCAGCUGCACCGCUGGGUAGCUAUGUUGGGACGGGAUAAGCGCUGAAAGCAUCUAAGCGCGAAACCCACCUCAAGAUGAGAUUUCCAUUAAGGGACGUCAGAGAUUAUGACGUUGAUAGGCUGCAGGUGUAAAGUCAGUAAUGGCAAAGCUGAGCAGUACUAAUAACCGAAAAAAAAGAAGAG
rnacentral:rRNA from 1 species